UUUUUUUUUUUUUUUUUUUUUUUUUUUUGAGACGAAAUUCGGCUCUUGUUGCCCAGGCUGGAGUACAAUGGCGUGAUCUCAGCUCACCACAACCUCCACCUCCCAGGUUCAAGCAAUUCUCCUGCCUCAGCCUCCUAAGUAGUUGGGAUUACAGGCAUGCGCCACCACGCCCAACUAAUUUUGUGUUUUUCGUAGAGAUGGAGUUUCUCCAUGUUGGUCAGGCUGGUUUCGACCUCAGGUGAUCCCCCUGCCUCAGCCUCUCAAAGUUCUGGGAUUACAGGCAUGAGCCACAGAGCCCAGCCCAUUCCUUCCCUUCUUUAGGGCUUUUUCCCCCUGCCAUCACAAAAGAGGCUGGCCUGGAUGAAAGCCCUUCCAGUUUGGCUUUUUUGGAGUCCAACAGCCAACACCUUUGGAACAUGCCAUGGUCACCCUCACCACCUGGCCUUAACAUCUGCUAUGCCCUCCACCAGGACCACUGUUCCCCACUGUGUUCACAUGGUGCAUUUCUUCAUUCGGGUCUUCACUACUCAGCAGAGCCUCUCCUUUCCACCCAACCUAAAGUCACAUGCAUAUACACAGCCCUGAUACUCUUUUUCCCUAAACAUUGAUCAUUACCUGAUCUCAUACUGCACGUUUAUUAGUAUCUUGUCUUUAUGCCAGCCCCCGCCACCAAUAGAAUAUAAGCCCUAUAAUGGCAGGGAUCUUCUCCAACCUGUUCAACAUGGCACCCCAGUGCCUAACAUAGAGCUGGGCACCUAGUAGCUACUUGAUGUAUUUUGGAAGGAAAAGAGGGAAGGAGGGAAGAAGGAAAGAAGGAGUGGGGAAGGAGGGAGAAAGGGAGGAGGGUUUUACCUAGCUGUAUGAAUUUAGCCUAAGAUAAUGUAAAAUGCCAACCAAUAUGUAUGGUUGGCCAGCUCUGCCCAGGUAUGGUGCUAAACCCAGGUGAUCUGAAGGUGAACCUGAUACCCCAGCCUUCUUUUUGAUCUUACAUCUUCUAAGGAGAUGCAAGUUAGCAUUUAACCUACAUAGUAAACCAGGACUGUGGUCUGUGAGGGGAGAAGGAGAACAGGGCUCUAUGUGAUUAGGAGACAGAGGACAGGAGGCAGGGAGGGGUCAGAGGAGGGCUUCUCAGUGGAGGUGAUGUAGGCCCUGAGUGGUCACUUAGGGUUUGGGGAGGAGGCUGAUGGGGCUGGUGGGAUUGGCUCCUGGUGUGGACCAUGGCAGUGCAGGGACAGGGCUCAGCCUCCCAGCUGUGGCCUUUGCUAUCAUUUCCUGUGGGAAUGCUUUCUCCUUAGCUACCCACCCUAGGGC
rnacentral:lncRNA from 1 species